rnacentral:rRNA from 1 species
AUUGAACGCUGGCGGCAUGCCUUACACAUGCAAGUCGAACGAAGUCUUCGGACUUAGUGGCGGACGGGUGAGUAACACGUGGGAACGUGCCUUUAGGUUCGGAAUAACUCAGGGAAACUUGUGCUAAUACCGAAUGUGCCCUUCGGGGGAAAGAUUUAUCGCCUUUAGAGCGGCCCGCGUCUGAUUAGCUAGUUGGUGGGGUAAUGGCCCACCAAGGCUACGAUCAGUAGCUGGUCUGAGAGGGUGACCAGCCACAUUGGGACUGAGACACGGCCCGAACUCCUACGGGAGGCAGCAGUGGGGAAUCUUGCGCAAUGGGCGAAAGCCUGACGCAGCCAUGCCGCGUGGAUGAUGAAGGUCUUAGGAUUGUAAAAUCCUUUCACCGGUGAAGAUAAUGACUGUAGCCGGAGAAGAAGCCCCGGCUAACUUCGUGCCAGCCGCCGCGGUAACAC